AUCAAAGUCAGCUUCCGAGACUAUGGGUGACGACAUGGAUCUCAACCUACAAACUCAAAAUAAUCGAUUGAAAUAUUAAGGCACUGCAGUUACUUGGAGACCCAUUACUGGGAUUAGGCCUCAGCUUGCUGUGUGGGAUAAGGCUCUGGUGAUCCCCCUUUUGUUGCUUUAAGGAUUGAUAUGCACAAGAAAACGUAGUCAUAUAUGGGAAAGGAUCCAGUAACUUUACGCCAAGUAGGUAGGUAGGGAAGGUGAGAUUCUUGAACGAGCCCACUGAAACUGAAGGGUCUUCGGGUCCUGUUACGGCCAUGGUUUGUCGAAAGUAGGAUGUUGAAUUCUGAUGAGAAGUGUCUUGAGGAGGUUUUACCCGAAGAGAAAGGUCGAGUCUGUUAGAGGUUUUGCAUUGACUACUGAUAAAAAAAAACGUGACGUCUUUGAUGUUGCUGUUUAUGAUUGGGGCACCUUCAUAACAGGGCAGGAGGUAUAAAGUUGAAGGUGGUGGUGGUGAAAGCAUAUGGGACGAUAUACAGAUAGAAAAGCAGUAGCAAUGGUUGUGGGUUCUCUCAACGUGGACAAGUUGGUCUCUCAGACCGUCGUAAUGACAGAUUGUGCAUUUUAUGCUGUCGGGGUGUUUCUUUCAGUGGCAGGGACCUAAAUCAAGCCAAUCUGGAUACAAUUCAUACUGUCCCUGUAAUGAACACACUUGCUGAGCUUUUGGAGUGGGGACGCGAUAAGAAACAUACUUUGCUCCCUAAAGAAGAGUUUGGUUUCCGUUAUCGCCCAGGAAGGGGCUAACCUGGGAUGAUAGUGGGUUCUGGUGUACAGGAUGUAAGACAGCUGUUGCAUAUCUGCAUAUUAGGUUUAAGAUUGAACUGGAUAUUAGGGAUGACAGUGCAUCCACAGUUUUCGUCCGCGGAGAGAUUGCUAAGCCGAACAACAAAGUCGUUAAUGGAUGAAGAGUUGCAGGCGAUGAUGUUAUGCCACAUGUUUUGCGGAAUCUGAUUAGCAACAAACACGUGUUUGAGAUCAAGGGGCACAAUUACUACGAUGUUGGAGAGUAUGAGGCUUUCGGUUCCCAAGUUGUGAUGCCUAUUUUGGUGAGCAAAAGAAGUGAAGGUACGUCCAGUCAGCCCAAGGCCAGUGAAAUACCUUUGGCAACCUCAUCAAUUGUUGUGCAUAAGUCUGUCGAUAUUGCCACACCAGCAAAGAACCAUGAACCAAGAAAGCACAGGUCGUAAAUGUACUUUACAUUAGUGGUAUAUCUGCUCAUGCACUUUUUCAAUAAGAUAUUUUGUAAAUGGUGAAUACUUACGGGGGCACAAAGGGACCAGAGGCAUCAUCCAAUUAAAAUGGAAAGAAGAAGGGGAAAAUCAGUUUGGAUAACAAGAGUAAAUGAAGUGGAGAAACAACCCAGUUCAACUGAUGGAGAAAACUUGGAUGAUGUUGGGUUAGAAGAAAACAUAAGUUCACGUAAUGUGUCCAAAAAAGGAAGGAAUGUGGUUGAUUCGGAGUCCUAUACAGGAGAAGAAAAUGUUGAGGUUACAGGCAACAAUGCUUGAUGGUAGAAGAAGUACAAACUCCAUUUCUGUUAUACGAUUGGAGUUUUUGGUUAUCUUCUUUUGGUUUCUUGUUGUUACGGGAUUUUAGUUUUUCUAUUUUCCAGUAUUUUGAUAUGAAGACGUUUUGGUGUUCUCAUGUAUUGGUGUCUUUGUUUGGUGUUGCAUCUAGU